UGAAUGUAAAAUUUUAAGCUGGGGUAGUAGUAGAUAUUUUCUUGAAACUCAAAGAAUUUGGCGGUAUUUUAGUCUUUUCAGAGGAACCUGUUUCUUUAUCGAUAUUCCGCGUUUUAUCUAGCUUGAUUUUGUUAUUACAGUUUGUAUACCGCCGUUAUCAGAAUGUUUUUUUAGAAUUUAAAUUUUCGAUACUUUUUAUUAAAGGUGAUUUCAGGUCAAGGUGCAGUUUAUAAUUAAGUGAAAAUGGGUUACAAUAAAUAUAUUUAUAUGGAUAAUUUUAUGAAGUAUAAAAUUUGAAGGUGGAUUUGAUAGUAAUAUAAUAUAUAAUAUUAAUUUGAUUUUAGCUCUA
rnacentral:rRNA from 1 species